UACGAAGGGUGCAAGCGUUACUCGGAAUUACUGGGCGUAAGGCGUGCGUAGGUGGUUUGUUAAGUCUGAUGUGAAAGCCCUGGGCUCAACCUGGGAAUUGCAUUGGAUACUGGCAGGCUAGAGUGCGGUAGAGGAUGGCGGAAUUCCCGGUGUAGCAGUGAAAUGCGUAGAGAUCGGGAGGAACAUCUGUGGCGAAGGCGGCCAUCUGGACCAGCACUGACACUGAGGCACGAAAGCGUGGGGAGCAAACAGG
rnacentral:rRNA from 1 species